rnacentral:rRNA from 1 species
AGACUCUCGGCAACGGAUAUCUCGGCUCCUGCAUCGAUGAAGAACGUAGCGAAAUGCGAUACUUGGUGUGAAUUGCAGAAUCCCGUGAACCAUCGAGUCUUUGAACGCAAGUUGCGCCCGAAGCCAUUAGGCUGAGGGCACGCCUGCCUGGGUGUCG